UACUUAGGGUGCAAGCGUUGUCCGGAAUUAUUGGGCGUAAAGAGCUCGUAGGCGGUCUGUCGCGUCUGCUGUGAAAAUCCAGGGCUCAACCCUGGACCUGCAGUGGGUACGGGCAGACUAGAGUGCGGUAGGGGAGAUCGGAAUUCCUGGUGUAGCGGUGAAAUGCGCAGAUAUCAGGAGGAACACCGGUGGCGAAGGCGGUUCUCUGGGCAUUACCUGACGCUGAGGAGCGAAAGUGUGGGGAGCGAACAGG
rnacentral:rRNA from 1 species